ACUUCUAAACGUGAAGUUCAUUAAAGAAAAACGAUUAUGGUUUUAUGCGAUGAUAUAUUCAAGGGAAUUUAAAAAAUUUUCUUUUUUUCGUGGAAGGGUCAUGAGAUUUUAUGUUCUCUACAUCUAGAUUGACUUUUAAUGGUGGCUUUUGACACUUAAGUUAAUGAAAAUGCCCAAUGGGUUACAAUUUAAUAAAAACGAAAAAAAUAAAAUGUAGGACUAUUGACCAUUAAUGGUUUGAAGUUAUUCAUUAUUUAAGAAUAUAUGAAGGAGACAACAUACAAAAAUUUAUGAAAAACAUUGUUUUAAGAAAUUAAUUGCACAUAAAAAAAUAGAUAGAUAUUGCAAAUAUGAUGUCACAAUUUCUACUUGAUAGAUAAAAAGAGAAAGACUUAAAGUCUAGUAAUAAAGAAACAUUAUUAUCAUAUUUAUUUUAGAGAGAACAAAAUACAAUUUUUUUUGAUGAAUUACGCAUAUCAUUCAAAUCAUUUUUAAUGGUGAAAAAUGAUAGUUGGAUAGACCUUAACUUUUCAACUGUUCAUUUCGAUUUUAAGAAAAAAUAAAGCUAAAAAAUUAAAUAUUAUUAAUAAGAAUAAUGUAAAACUGUAGAUGGAUGAUAGUUUUUAAAGACUUUUGAAUUCAACGAGCCUCAUAAAUGUGAGGUGAAAACUAAAAUACUCCUCUAACAAAAUUAUUACAAGUUUCUCCACAUAUUUGACUUGAGUUUCCAAUUCUGAUUUUUGUUCCUUGAAAUCUCUACAGUCGGCAACUUGAAACAAUUGCCGACUGUAGAGAUUUCAAGAAACAAACAUCAGAACUGGAAACUCAAAUCAAAUAUGUGGAGAAGCUUGUAAAUGAAUGGGAACAUGUAAAAGCAGAAAGAAAGAAGAUAGAUAAUAAUAAGAAGAAAAAUAGCUUCAAGCUAAUUGAGUUGAGGUAAUAAAUUAAAUUUACCUUGUUUCCUUUCAAUUCAAACUUCUUAACAUAUAAUCAAUAAGAUUUUCAUGUUGAUUAAAAUGUUUUCAUUUUUUCAGGCAUAAAGAAAUUCGAAAUCAAAUAAUUUUUUGAUUUACAUGGUCUCCAUCCUGAUGAAGCUCUAUGGUUUGUAAAGCUUCAUCUAUUCUUGUUUUAUAACCUUCGGAGUAAGCUCAAUACAAUCAGCUUAUUUAAUUGUUUAUUAUUAUUAUUAUUUUUUUUUUAAUAAAAGUUGUAAAAGUGAUAUAUGUAAUCACUGGGCAUGGUGAAUCUGGAGACAAUGUUUCGGUGCUGAAAGAGAAGGUAUGAUAAUGUAUCCUUUUAUUUAAAAGUUUUUAUGUAUUUUUAUUUUAAAGUUUCUAUAAAAGCCGUAAAAACUAUUUCCACUGGUUUUGUUUUGUUUUGCAGGUCGGUAAACUAUUAACAAAAAUUGGAAUCCAACUGAACUUUCAAAUAAAGGCCGAUAUGAAAUACAACUUCCUGAGGAACAAAAAGAUAUUAACUGUUUGUUGGAUAAUUCAGAUUGUAAUUGAUAUUCAUUUUUAAUUGUGAAAAAUGAAAGUUGAAUAGACCUUAACUUUUCAACUGUUCAUUUCGAUUUUAAGAAAAAAUAAAGCUAAAAAAUUAAAUAUUAUUAAUAAGAAUAAUAUACUGUGUAAUCGAUAGCUAUAGCGAGGUAAUAGCAACAACCUACUUAUAUGCUAUGUAGCGAUAGCGACGACUAUUUCAUUUUUUUAGCGAAUUUCUAUUGAAAAUUAAUACUACUUUUAUCUUCACCUAAUUAGAGAUUAUAACUAAUAAGUAAGCUAAAACCAAGACUAUGAUAGGCCCCCAGUCAUGCAUGUCUACACUCGUAAGAAUAAGAAAAUGCCCAAGAAUAACAGUCCAAUGGGGCAUGAUCAGCCCAAGUAUCAACAGGGGACAAACCAGGGGUAGUUUGGUCUUUCGGUGUUUUCUAGCAGCUGUUAACAGGCCAAUGAGGCAUGAUCAGCCCAAGUAGUUUGGUCCUUCAUGAGAUUUUAUGUUCUCCACAUCUAGAUUGACUUUUAAUGGUGGGCUUUUGACACUUAAGUUAAUGAAAAUGCCCAAUGGGUUACAAUUUAAUAAAAACGAAAAAAAUAAAAUGUAGGACCAUUGACCAUUAAUGGUUUGAAGUUAUUCAUUAUGUAAGAAUAUAUGAAGGAGACAACAUACAAAAAUUUAUGAAAAACACUGUUUUAAGAAAUUAAUUGCACAUAAAAAAAUAGAUAGAUAUUGCAAAUAUGAUGUCACAAUUUCUACUUGAUAGAUAAAAAGAGAAAGACUUAAAGUCUAGUAAUAAAGAAACAUUAUUAUCAUAUUGUAGAUGAAUGAUAGUUUUUAAAGACUUUUGAAUUCAACGAGCCUCAUAAAUGUGAGGUGAAAACUAAAAUACUCCUCUAACAAAAUUAUUACAAGCUAAAUUUAAUCACUGGGCAUGGUGAAUCUGGAGACAAUGUUUCGGUGCUGAAAGAGAAGGUAUGAUAAUGUAUCCUUUUAUUUAAAAGUUUUUAUGUAUUUUUAUUUUAAAGUUUCUAUAAAAGCCCUAAAAACUAUUUCCACUGGUUUUGUUUUGUUUUGCAGGUUGGUAAACUGUUAACAAAAAUUGGAAUCCAACUGAACUUUCAAAUAAAGGCCGAUAUGAAAUACAACUUCUUGAGGAACAAAAAGAUAUUAACUGUUUGUUGGAUAAUUCAGAUUGUAAUUGAUAUUUAUGUUUUUAUUUGUUUAUUUAUUUUUAUUUUAGUAUUUGUAAAAUGAUGAAAUUGAGGACUUAAUCCAUAAAUUGCAGCAACACGUGUUUUGUUUUGUUAUUGAUUGUUUUACCUAGUCUAAUGUUUUGCAUAAGUGGUCCCUGCUCUACUUUCAUGC
rnacentral:lncRNA from 1 species